AUGCCUCAGUACGGCGAGUGAGCGGCAAGAGCUCAAAUUUGAAAGCUGGCCCCUUCGGGGUCCGCGUUGUAAUUUGCAGAGGAUGCUUCGGGUGCAGCCCCCGUCUAAGUGCCCUGGAACGGGCCGUCAUAGAGGGUGAGAAUCCCGUCUGGGACGGGGUGUCUGCGUCCGUGUGAAGCUCCUUCGACGAGUCGAGUUGUUUGGGAAUGCAGCUCUAAAUGGGUGGUAAAUUUCAUCUAAAGCUAAAUACUGGCCGGAGACCGAUAGCGCACAAGUAGAGUGAUCGAAAGAUGAAAAGCACUUUGAAAAGAGAGUUAAACAGCACGUGAAAUUGUUGAAAGGGAAGCGUUUGCGACCAGACUCGCCCGCGGGGUUCAGCCGGCAUUCGUGCCGGUGUACUUCCCCGUGGGCGGGCCAGCGUCGGUUUGGGCGGCCGGUCAAAGGCCCUCGGAAUGUAUCACCUCUCGGGGUGUCUUAUAGCCGAGGGUGCAAUGCGGCCUGCCUGGACCGAGGAACGCGCUUCGGCUCGGACGCUGGCGUAAUGGUCGUAAAUGACCCGUCUUG
rnacentral:rRNA from 1 species